UACGUUCCCGGCCUUGUACACACCGCCCGUCACUACCACGAAAGUCGGCAACACCCGAAGCCGGUGGCCCAACCGCAAGGAGGAGCCGUCGAAGGUGGGUCGGUGAUUGGGGUG
rnacentral:rRNA from 1 species